rnacentral:rRNA from 1 species
UACGUAGGGGGCUAGCGUUGUCCGGAAUCAUUGGGCGUAAAGAGCGUGUAGGCGGUCCGGUAAGUCCGCUGUGAAAGUCGGGGGCUCAACCCUCGAAUGCCGGUGGAUACUGUCGGGCUAGAGUGCGGAAGAGGCGAGUGGAAUUCCUGGUGUAGCGGUGAAAUGCGCAGAUAUCGGGAAGAACACCCGUGGCGAAGGCGGUUCUCUGGGACGGUACUGACGCUGAGACGCGAAAGCGUGGGGAGCGAACAGG